rnacentral:rRNA from 1 species
UUUUAUUUAAAGGAGGGGAGGUUUUUUUAGCAUUUUAAAAAAAAUAUUAUAUAUAUGUUUUUUUCCCCGUAGGACGAACGCUGGCGGCGUGCCUAAUACAUGCAAGUCGAGCGGACAGAAGGGAGCUUGCUCCCGGAUGUUAGCGGCGGACGGGUGAGUAACACGUGGGUAACCUGCCUGUAAGACUGGGAUAACUCCGGGAAACCGGAGCUAAUACCGGAUAGUUCCUUGAACCGCAUGGUUCAAGGAUGAAAGACGGUUUCGGCUGUCACUUACAGAUGGACCCGCGGCGCAUUAGCUAGUUGGUGGGGUAAUGGCUCACCAAGGCGACGAUGCGUAGCCGACCUGAGAGGGUGAUCGGCCACACUGGGACUGAGACACGGCCCAGACUCCUACGGGAGGCAGCAGUAGGGAAUCUUCCGCAAUGGACGAAAGUCUGACGGAGCAACGCCGCGUGAGUGAUGAAGGUUUUCGGAUCGUAAAGCUCUGUUGUUAGGGAAGAACAAGUGCGAGAGUAACUGCUCGCACCUUGACGGUACCUAACCAGAAAGCCACGGCUAACUACGUGCCAGCAGCCGCGGUAAUACGUAGGUGGCAAGCGUUGUCCGGAAUUAUUGGGCGUAAAGGGCUCGCAGGCGGUUUCUUAAGUCUGAUGUGAAAGCCCCCGGCUCAACCGGGGAGGGUCAUUGGAAACUGGGAAACUUGAGUGCAGAAGAGGAGAGUGGAAUUCCACGUGUAGCGGUGAAAUGCGUAGAGAUGUGGAGGAACACCAGUGGCGAAGGCGACUCUCUGGUCUGUAACUGACGCUGAGGAGCGAAAGCGUGGGGAGCGAACAGGAUUAGAUACCCUGGUAGUCCACGCCGUAAACGAUGAGUGCUAAGUGUUAGGGGGUUUCCGCCCCUUAGUGCUGCAGCUAACGCAUAAGCACUCCGCUGGAGACGCCGUCU